rnacentral:tRNA from 3 species
CGCGGGGUGGAGCAGUUGGCAGCUCGUCGGGCUCAUAACCCGAAGGUCGUAAGUUCGAGUCUUACCCCCGCAACCA